UACUUACUAAAUUUCGGUGUGUAAUUUAGUGCAAAAAUAACCAAAGCGUCAAUAUUUCAGCUAAUUUAUUAAAACUUGUCAGUGGGAAUUCAAAGGAAAUGGGUUAAAUCAGGUGUUUGGUUAUGUAUAAAUUUCCAAGAAAUGUUGAAAAUAGUCACUUUUCUAGAGCCAAUUUUUUCAGCCUAUAGACACAGUUUUACUCAACUCAGCAAGUGUUCCUUGGUGCCACGUGUCGUAAGCUCAAAAGAAUUUGCUGUCCGAUAACUCCAAAGGAUACAAUUAAUCAACUAAAUAAAUUAAUGUAUUUGCAGUUCGAUAAUUAUAUUUAAUUACAGGUAUGCCUCAUCGAAUUAAAUUAAGAAAAUAUAGAGGGGACCACAUAAUACAUUUUCUAAGAUAAAAAAUAAAUAUGCGCUAGUUUAAAAUACUUAACGACGCUCACGACAUAGGCGGGGACUUGAUUUGUUGUCAAGUAAACGAGCUAGUAAGAACGAAUCGUUUGCAAUCAAUUAAAUACAUAUCAGCGUUUGUACCAGUGGCAUCUUAACAUAAUCGGAUGCGCGGGCAAAUUUUUUUUUUGGUGCUCUCGAAUUACUUUCUAUAGUACUGGUUAUAAUGGAAACAAAGUUACGGAAAUGCGGCCUAAUGGAACGGAAGAAUUAUGUGCCAUGAAAUUUGCCAUGAUUAUAAAAACUUGUAUUUGGUUAACACUAUAAUUGCGCACAAAACAAUUAUACAAAGUAGUCACAACGGCCUCUGUAAUCAAUUACGCCGCAAUAACUCAUAUAUUUUGAUUUUAUGUCGCUGUUGCAGAGCCAACGCUGGAUCCCAUACCCAAAAUCUCAAAACGCUUUUUCAUGGGUUCGAGCUUAUUUAUGUAUUGGUUGGAAAUAUCUAUGUUUAGCGUCUCAGUACCAGACUGGUUUGGAUCGAACUUCAUUUGAGGUAUUUGAGACGUUAAAAAUGAAUUCGAAUUUUCGUCAUUGUCUACAGAGGAGGAACUAGCGUACAUACAUUAAGCAAAUUCAUAAAACUGUGCCUACAUUCUACGGACAAGCUCUCUUUCGCCAUGCCACACCAAAAAAAUUACAUAGUAAGAGACUUUUGCAUUUUUCUAACGAGUUUGUUUAUUGAAUACAAGUAGUUUUUCAAGGAAUCAUCUCGAAAUUGUGUGCAACAA